rnacentral:rRNA from 1 species
UACGGGGGGAGCAAGCGUUGUUCGGAUUUACUGGGCGUAAAGGGCGCGUAGGCGGUCAGCACAAGUCAGUUGUGAAAUCUCCGGGCUUAACCCGGAAAGGUCAACUGAUACUGUGCGACUAGAGUGCGGAAGGGGCAACUGGGAAUUCUCGGUGUAGCGGUUGAAAUGCGUAGAUAUCGAGAGGAACACCUGCGGCGAAGGCGGGUUGCUGGGCUGACACUGACGCUGAUGUGCGAAAGCUAGGGGAGCGAACGGG